CGUUCCCUGUAUGGAAUGGGAAAUUAUGAACUUUUCGGUCCGUACAGAAGACAUGUCGUAUCGUACCAAUGUUGGUUUUCCAAAACACAAGAACAGCGAGAAAGACUAUUUCGGAGACUGUUGAUCGACACAAAAUCCGUCUAAACCACAACUAUGUCUUCGUGCUCAGAUUUUGAAGUGCCAAAACCCCAGAAGCUUGCUCGUAAGCCUAACCAAAGGAAAAGACCAAGGACAGCACAUACACAGCCAAG
rnacentral:lncRNA from 1 species